rnacentral:rRNA from 1 species
AUUGAACGCUGGCGGCAUGCUUUACACAUGCAAGUCGAACGGCAGCACGGACUUCGGUCUGGUGGCGAGUGGCGAACGGGUGAGUAAUACAUCGGAACGUACCCAGUAAUGGGGGAUAACUAUCCGAAAGGAUAGCUAAUACCGCAUACGCCCUACGGGGGAAAGAGGGGGAUCGCAAGACCUCUUGUUAUUGGAGCGGCCGAUGGCUGAUUAGCUAGUUGGUAGGGUAAAGGCCUACCAAGGCAACGAUCAGUAGCGGGUCUUAGAGGACGAUCCGCCACACUGGAACUGAGACACGGUCCAGACUACUACGGGAGGCAGCAGUGGGGAAUCUUGGACAAUGGGCGCAAGCCUGAUCCAGCAAUGCCGCGUGCGUGAAGAAGGCCUUCGGGUUGUAAAGCGCUUUUGUCAGGGAGCAAAUCCUUGUGGCUAAUACCCACCGGGGAUGAGAGUACCUGAAGAAUAAGGACCGGCUAACUACGUGCCAGCCGCCGCAGUAA